UUCAGAUUUUUCACACAUUUUAUGUCUUUAUUUAAUGUCCAUCAAGCUCAUCUAAAGCAUUCAUUUGAUCUAUGCUAUCCAUGCCGUUAUCACCUCCUCACCAGUGAACACCCUCCAUCGCCUCCUCAACCUCUCCUCCAUUUUCCUCCAUUUCUUCCGUCAGCCACCAUGAAAUCGCUGCUCCACCGGCAGACCCAGCUCCGGCGAAAAACAACUCCGGACAAUCGCCGCCCGAAUUCUCUUCGAUAUCUCUCUUCUCCGGAAGAAUCUCAAGGAUUCAAGCAUAAACCUUCACUUGAAGACGAGGCUUAAGAUGAGAAAAUCAAAACUUGACUAAUCGGGAUUGAACAUUAAACUUCAAGAUACGAAAGAGUUUGCCCGGGUUGGGAUACCUUCGGAAGGAGUGUUUAGUUAGAGUUUUCCUUUAUGUUGUAUUUUCUUUAAAGUAUUAAUUUUAUUCAGUUUUGAAAUAAUUGUAUAAUCACUGCUAUAUAUGAUAAGAUAAUUCGGGGCAGCUA